CGACAAAGUUCCGCCACGGAGUUUCAUCGCGGCUUCGAGCACGGCUCGACAAAGGGACUUUGCUGCUUGGAAGUUUCUUCAGCGGGGGACCAUCCUGGCGGGGACCACUUCUUCACCACUUACUACUACGUAAUUAUUAGCUGAUAAUGGAAGGAUCGAUAAGGCGCCG